rnacentral:tRNA from 1 species
GGCGGCGGUGGUGCAGUGAUCUACGGCACCGGCGCAGUCUGCGCCGGCGUAUGAGCACAGACGGACAAGUUCGUUCAAGCCGGGUUUGCCCUCGC